rnacentral:tRNA from 3 species
AAGGUUUUAAGUUAAAUUAAACUAAUAAUCUUCAAAAUUGUUUAUAAAGAUAAUAAUAUUCUUUAAACCUUA